rnacentral:rRNA from 1 species
UACGAAGGGUGCAAGCGUUACUCGGAAUUACUGGGCGUAAAGGGCGCGUAGGCGGCCUGUUAAGUCGAACGUGAAAUCCCCGGGCUCAACCCGGGAACUGCGUCCGAUACUGGCAGGCUUGAAUCCGGGAGAGGGAUGCGGAAUUCCAGGUGUAGCGGUGAAAUGCGUAGAUAUCUGGAGGAACACCGGUGGCGAAGGCGGCAUCCUGGACCGGCAUUGACGCUGAGGCGCGAAAGCCAGGGGAGCAAACGGGG